rnacentral:rRNA from 1 species
UACGGAGGGUGCAAGCGUUAUUCGGAAUUAUUGGGCGUAAAGGGCGCGUAGGCGGCCUGGCAAGUGGAAGGUGAAAUCCCUCGGCUUAACCGAGGAACUGCCCUCCAAACUGCUUGGCUUGAGUCCGGGAGAGGUGAGUGGAAUUCCCAGUGUAGCGGUGAAAUGCGUAGAUAUUGGGAGGAACACCAGUGGCGAAGGCGGCUCACUGGACCGGAACUGACGCUGAGGCGCGAAAGCCAGGGGAGCAAAGCGGGG